rnacentral:rRNA from 1 species
AGAGUUUGAUCCUGGCUCAGGACGAACGCUGGCGGCGCGCCUAACACAUGCAAGUCGAACGGGAACUGUCCGGAGCUUGCUUCGGACGGUUUCAGUGGCGGACGGGUGAGUAACGCGUGAGGAACCUGCCUUUCAGAGGGGGAUAACGUCCGGAAACGGACGCUAAUACCGCAUGACAUCCCGGGAUCACAUGGUUCUGGGAUCAAAGGAGCAAUCCGCUGGAAGAUGGACUCGCGUCCGAUUAGCCGGUUGGUGAGGUAACGGCCCACCAAAGUUGCGAUCGGUAGCCGGACUGAGAGGUUGAACGGCCACAUUGGGACUGAGACACGGCCCAGACUCCUACGGGGGGCAGCAGUGGGGGAUCUUGCACAAUGGAGGAAACUCUGAUGCAGCGACGCCGCGUGAGGGAAGACGGUUUUCGGAUUGUAAACCUCUGUCCCCGGUGACGAUAAUAACGGUAGCCGAGGAGGAAGCUCCGGCUAACUACGUGCCAGCAGCCGCGGUAAUACGUAGGGAGCGAGCGUUGUCCGGAUCUACUGGGUGUAAAGGGUGCGUAGGCGGCUGAACAAGUCAGGUGUGAAAACCAUCGGCUCAACUGAUGGAUUGCACUUGAAACUGUGCAGCUUGAGUGAAGCAGAGGCAGGCGGAAUUCCCGGUGUAGCGGUGAAAUGCGUAGAGAUCGGGAGGAACACCAGUGGCGAAGGCGGCCUGCUGGGCUUUAACUGACGCUGAGGCACGAAAGCAUGGGUAGCAAACAGGAUUAAGAAUACCCUGGNAGUCCAUGCC